CAGAACCAUCCUCCUGAGUGUAAUCU
rnacentral:misc_RNA from 1 species